rnacentral:lncRNA from 1 species
GCCCUCUUCAUCACUAACAAUUCUGUUUUCACACUUAUCCAGCCAAGUUGCGAGAGAAACCCCUGAAGUAGUCUAAAACACAUAUUCAGUUAUCAAAAUUUUUGGUCCUCAAGUCACUUUGAUUUUACUAAAAGCAAUCAUUUGAAGGACAUCUUGUCAGCUGGAAUCCCAAACAAACAGACGAGCGUGAAACAGGAGAAAAAAGAACAGAAAAAUAAACGUGAAAGAGCUACAUAAUGUGAGAUACCAUCUACUCAAAAGUGUUUUAAUAAGCAGAUUUUGUUGAUUUAUACAUUUCUAUUGCGUGAAUAGAUUCAUUGGAUCUGUAAAACAACACCGGAUUUUAAGGGAUUUUAAACUACAUUUGCUUAAAGACACGGGGCAUUAUCCAAGGGCUGCCAUUCUGUAUGUUGAUACAGCUGUUGACCUACCAGAACCUACAUACUUGAUGAUAAUAACUCAAAAACUGUCUCUUUACCAGCCUUUAAUCAAGUAGGAAAGAUUUGUUGGAGCUCUCACUGCCUUCUAUAAAACCUGCUGUUUGGUACCCAUGGAAUACCAAAUUCUCACAACUGCUAGGCCACUCGCUAGUGCUGUAUAUCCAUACAAUUCUGUCCCAGACCCUGCCUUGUAUGCCUAGCAACAUGUGAAGAUUUCUAUUUCUAAAUCCAGUCAUUCCAGUUGUACUUAUUACUGUCAUUAUGCAGUCUCAUUAAAUAUUAUUAAAAGCAAUUAUUAUGGAUAUGAAGAACAAAAGAUCUACUUCCUCUACAAAAACCAAAUCAAAUGCAUUGAAAAGAGACAAUAAAGUCAGGUCACCUUAAAAAUAAAUACUGUCAUCUUAAGUUUGACCAAGACAACCAUAAAAGAUUGAGGAAGGAAAUCAGAUCAUUUAAAAAUGGGAAGAAUAGUGGUCUUAGAUUGCUUUGUAAGUUUCUGUAAGUUCCUCCUUCACCUAAGAAACUGAAGCUUCACAUGGCCAAUGAUGCUGUGUAGGUGUCACUUGUCUGUGAGAGCCAAUGAAGAACAUUAAUCAGAAGAACCAAACUCAAGAACAAGGUCAUUUCCUGCUUCACAAGGGCCAUCUUUACUUUGAAAGAUACAGAAAGACUGUGUAUAUCCUUGCUUGUGAUCUUCCCAAUCAGUAGCAUCUGUUUCUAGGUCAGAUGGCAUACAAGUUCCUCCUCUGCUAAGAGUUACUGCUUUUGUGCCUCCCCAAAAAGAUAUAAUAAAAAUAAGAUUGAAUAUGGUCUUUUAAUCUUGGAGUCAUAAAAGAAAUGUUGAGGGGCAGGGGCUCAAAUCACUCCCAGAUGAGACACCACAACUUGAAAAGUGAUAGAGCAUAUGGCUUUGCAUGUGUGAGGCUUCCUCUUGGAAAACAAUAAAGGCAAAUCACAGACAGGAUCGGGAACACUGAUUAUUGCUUGGGUGUAAUUUAUUAUAUCUUAGAUUCUGGAAAACAAAACAUAGCAACAUGCUUCACUCUUGUCAUGCAGAGAAUCUGUGACUAUUUCUCUGUAGAUAAUCAGAGCCCGGAUAAUGGUCCUGAGAUUGUCUAGGUGCCACUGUGAAAAAUGCCUCAACCACAAAUGGAUUUCUAAGUAGCCAGACCUAAUGGGCCACCUUUAAUGAUCAACAGAGCCAAAUCUUGUUAUUUCAUACUUAAGGUGAAUGAAAAGAUGCCAGUGUGUUCUCUCAGAUGUAUAUCUCCAGACGGGGAAGUUUCCUGUGGAUGUCACAGCCAGAGGCUAGUAUAUUCUGCUAAGCCCCAAGAUUACUGUGUCGGUCACCUAGGACCGCCAGAGCAUUCUUAACACUUCUGGAAACCUGCUCCGCAAAGUCAAUAGGUCAAAAGGAUUUCCUGUAUCUCAAAAGUGUGACAGUAAAUUACACAAGGAAUCCACUUGAAAUACAAUAUGAAGAGCGUACCGUAAUGUGGCUUAAACUCUGAUUCCUGCCACUCUUGCUGUCAUCUAGGCAUAGCAGGAAGGAUG